UUUGUUGUGUCAGUAUAGGAUCCAAAACUGAGGUUCUGCUUUGGUUGUGAGAAAGCCUUAGCUCCCUGAGAAGGCUCUGAGAAGGCUCCAUGAGAGCAACUGGUCUAGAGGAAUCUUCUUGCCAGAACAUGGGGUGAACAGCUGCUAAGCCUCAUGAAAUCAGAGUGCUGCAGUUCUGCAGUGAAGGACCUGGGAUUCUGCCCACCACGCCGUCCUGGCCCUUCAGAUGCCGCAAGCUCUGCCCCAGAAGGCUGACCUGUAUAGACAGUUUCAAAGGAUUUCCUUACCUUUUGGCUUCCUUGAGGAGCCUGGAGAGGGGAAGGCAGCGAGGGUCUUUCUUUCAGCAAUCUGUCAAGUGCAUUCAAUGACAUGUCCAAGGCCAUGGGCAGAGUCCAGAUUGCAACUCAGAAUCCUGGAGUGUCUGCGUCUCUCUCCAAUCUCCUUGCAGUUCCUGGACCAUCUCACCUUGGUGAGAUGAGUACAACCACCUGAGGCAGAUGAGAGGUAGGAGUUUCUGGUUCUGAAUUCUGUGGCGAGGCCCCAGAGAGCUGAGAAAACAGUGAGGCAUCACCACAAUCUCCGAGUUUCCCAAAUGAGACUCCCAGGUGGAGAUGUGGGAUAAGAAAUGAACUGCCGGGUCCCAAGUCCAUUCCUGUGCAGCCACACACUGUUCAACCAACAAGGGGUCUACCCUGGGAGAAUUUAUGGUCUACAUGUCUCCUUAUUGGUCUGAGA